GCUGGGAGUGGUGGUGCACACCUGUAAUCCCAGCAAAUCAGGAGGCUGAGGCAGGAGGAUUGCAAGAUUGAAGCCCACCUCAACAACUUAGUGAGGCCCUAAGCAACUUAGCAAAACCCUGUCUCAG
rnacentral:sRNA from 1 species